CUACGGGCGGCAGCAGUGAGGAAUAUUGCACAAUGGGGGGAACCCUGAUGCAGCAACGCCGCGUGGAGGAUGACGCAUUUCGGUGUGUAAACUCCUUUUAUAUGUCAAGAAAAUGACGGUAGCAUAUGAAUAAGCACCGGCUAACUCCGUGCCAGCAGCCGCGGUAAUACGGAGGGUGCAAGCGUUACUCGGAAUCACUGGGCGUAAAGGACGCGUAGGCGGGUUGGAAAGUCAGGUGUGAAAUCCUACAGCUUAACUGUAGAACUGCACUUGGAACUUCUAAUCUAGAGUAUGGGAGGGGGAGAUGGAAUUAGUGGUGUAGUGGUAAAAUCCGUAGAUAUCACUAGGAAUACCUAAAGCGAAGGCGAUCUCCUGGAACAUUACUGACGCUAAGGCGUGAAAGCGUGGGGAGCAAACAGGAUUAGAUACCCGAGUAGUC
rnacentral:rRNA from 1 species